CCCACCUGGCUUUUCCUUCACAGUGCUCUCAAAAUCCACCGUCCCAGCUUUUAAUCUGAACCUUCGGUGAACCGACGUGUAUUUUUAGCUGCACCACCUCUUGGGCUGAGCUUUUCCCAUAUGUUUGUUAACCACGAACAUUGCCACUUCCGUAAAGAGUCUGUUUACCGGAGGAAUAGUCUUAAAGUUAAAAUAGAAUUUGAAAAAUACUCAUGAGCAAGAAAGGAAAAAGUAGAGACUAGAAACCAGGCAUUGGACACCGAGACUGUGCUCCAAAGGCUGAUUUUACUCCCCUUCUUCAGACCCAAAAGUGACAACUUCUCGAAUGCCGGAAACUGCAGCAUGCCUACAGCUCUACCCUCAGACUCCAGCACCUCGCCUGGCACACCCCACAGGAAACCAACACUGCUCCAUCCCCAGCUUGGAUUGGAGGAGAGUAUUAAGUCAACACGGGGGGCAGCGAGGGGACCAUCCACGUGUCAAUUCAAAGACUGACAAUUAAGAUUUAAAAAAAUGGAAGAGAAAUUAACAGGUUAGGCAUCUCUCUCUUUUGAAAAAAAUAUAAAUAAAAGAA